GAUGAACGCUAGCUACAGGCUUAACACAUGCAAGUCGCAGGGUAACAUGAGGAAAGCUUGCUUUCCUUGAUGACGACUGGCGCACGGGUGAGUAACGCCUAUCCAACCUUCCCAUAACUACGGGAUAACCCGUUGAAAGACGGCCUAAUACCGUAUGAUAUCGUUUGCUGACAUCAAAUAACGAUUAAAGGUUUAGCGGUUAUGGAUGGGGAUGCGUCUGAUUAGCUUGUUGGCGGGGUAACGGCCCACCAAGGCGACGAUCAGUAGGGGUUCUGAGAGGAAGGUCCCCCACAUUGGAACUGAGACACGGUCCAAACUCCUACGGGAGGCAGCAGUGAGGAAUAUUGGUCAAUGGGCGAGGGCCUGAACCAGCCAAGUAGCGUGCAGGACGACGGCCCUAUGGGUUGUAAACUGCUUUUAUGUGGGGAUAAAGUGCGUGACGUGUCAUGCAUUGCAGGUACCACAUGAAUAAGGACCGGCUAAUUCCGUG
rnacentral:rRNA from 1 species